GACGGAGGGUGCAAACGUUGUUCGGAAUCACUGGGCAUAAAGAGCACGUAGGCUGCGCGCUAAGUCAGGUGUGAAAUCCCCCGGCUCAACCGGGGAGGGUCGUCGGGGACCGCACCGCUUGAGGGCGGUAGGGGCUGGUGGAAUGCCUGGUGUAGUGGUGAAAUGCGUAGAGAUCAGGCGGAACACCCGUGGCGAAGGCGGCCAGCUGGGCCGUCCCUGACGCUGAGGCGCGAAGGCGUGGGGAGCGAACGGG
rnacentral:rRNA from 1 species